AACGAACGCUGGCGGCGUGCUUAACACAUGCAAGUCGAACGGGAUCCUGGCCUUCGGGCUGGGUGAGAGUGGCGCACGGGUGAGUAACGCGUGGGAACCUGCCCUGGGGUACGGAAUAACGCCGGGAAACUGGCGCUAAUACCGUAUAUCUCCCCUUGGAAACGAGGCGGAGAAAGAUUGAUCGCCCUUGGGAUGGGCCCGCGUCCGAUUAGCUUGUUGGUGGGGUAACGGCCUACCAAGGCUUCGAUCGGUAGCUGGUCUGAGAGGAUGGCCAGCCACACUGGGACUGAGACACGGCCCAGACUCCUACGGGAGGCAGCAGUGGGGAAUAUUGGACAAUGGGCGCAAGCCUGAUCCAGCAACGCCGCGUGGAUGAAGAAGGCCUUCGGGUUGUAAAGUCCUUUCGGCAGGGACGAUGAUGACGGUACCUGCAGGAGAAGCCCCGGCUAACUUCGUGCCAGCAGCCGCGGUAAUACGAAGGGGGGUCUAGCGUUGUUCGGAAUUACUGGGCGUAAAGGGCGUGUAGGCGGACAUUCAAGUCAGGGGUGAAAUCCCGGGGUCUCAACCUCGGAAUGGCCUUUGAGACUGGGUGUCUUGAGGACGGGAGAGGGUCGUGGAAUUCCCAGUGUAGAGGUGAAAUUUCGUAGAUAUUGGGAAGAACACCGGUGGCGAAGGCGGCGACCUGGACCGUAUCUGACGCUGAGGCGCGAAAGCGUGGGGAGCAAAAC
rnacentral:rRNA from 1 species